rnacentral:lncRNA from 1 species
AUGAAACUUUCAUUAAAGUUUGAAGAAAAAGAGCAGCGUUGCCAAAGUAAGGAAAUGGAAGUGUUAAGAAACUUGCAUGAAAGUGCUGCUCCUCCUGAUGACAGUGAUGGUUGUGGACUGAAUCAGCAGAGAAAGAGUGGGGACCUUGACAACCAGCAAUCUGCCACUAAGAAGAAUGAAGAAUAUUAUUUCUGCCCUGCCUUGCAUAUAAAGGAAACAAAAAAUGAAAAUGAAAAAGUGACUUCCAUGGAGUAUGGGAUUAGACCAGUGAUAGAGAAUGGCUUUUCACUCACUAGAAGUCUACUGCAAGUGAUUUAUGACAACAAUCUGAGUGAGCUCGAUCGUCUUAAAAGGGAACAGUUAAGAAGAAAAGAAAAGCAAUAUCAUAAAGAAGUAGUAGUGAAACAACUUGAAGUGACACAUAGAACACUAGAAUUGGAUGCGAGGACUUCAAAAAACAAUUUGACCCAGUUCCAAGAAUCAGAAGAUGAACAAAAGGAGUUGGUACAAAACACUGAGAAAAUUCAAGAUCAUCUGGAAAAGCAUGAUCAGGAAAAUCAUGAGUUGAAAGAUACAAUACUAAAGCAAGCAAGGGAAAUUAAAAAUCUUCAGGAAAUCCUUUUCAGACUAAGUUCAGUAGAUAUGAAACACCUGCAGCAGCAACAGGAUGACAUUGAGAAAAGGCAAUGUAAAUCGGAGGCAUCGCUGAGAGAGAUGGCACAGUUUUACCUUAAGUUAAACAGCAAGAUGCAGGAUAUAAUGAACAAGUUAGAUGAAAUCAUCAGAAAAUUCCAGGUAUCAGAAAAUCUACACCAAGGAGUGGUAGAAAAUGUAAAGAAGACACAAGAUUAUCUAGAACACUACAAUUCAAGGCUUCAGUCUGAAAUUUUGGAAAUGAAAGAUAUCGUCAAACUGCAUGCUGGCAGUAUUGAAGAGCUGCAGAAAAAUCUGAUAAGACCAAGUUCAGUUUCACCGGAUAAUGUAAGAAGAUGUUGUAUGAACUCAGAAACUGAAAUCCAGAAAUUGAAGAAGGAAUUAAGUGACCUCAGGAGACAAUUUAAAGAUGAACAGCAACACAUAAUGCUGCUUGCUGAGUUAAAUCAAGCUCUGCAGGACAAACUGGAUGAAGAGAUGAAGAAAAAUGGUGAUUUAGGAGACAAGAUAACUCAGUAA